UGAAAGUGGAGUCCAGCAACCACUAAAAAAAAACGGGGCGAAAUCGAAAAGCCUGAAGAGUAGAAAACAA
rfam:Flavobacterium flevense strain DSM 1076 genome assembly, contig: Ga0131122_102